rnacentral:rRNA from 1 species
AGUGAACGCUGGCGGUAGGCCUAACACAUGCAAGUCGAACGGCAGCACAGUAAGAGCUUGCUCUUACGGGUGGCGAGUGGCGGACGGGUGAGGAAUACAUCGGAAUCUACUUUUUCGUGGGGGAUAACGUAGGGAAACUUACGCUAAUACCGCAUACGACCUACGGGUGAAAGCAGGGGAUCUUCGGACCUUGCGCGAUUCAAUGAGCCGAUGUCGGAUUAGCUAGUUGGCGGGGUAAAGGCCCACCAAGGCGACGAUCCGUAGCUGGUCCGAGAGGAUGAUCAGCCACACUGGAACUGAGACACGGUCCAGACUCCUACGGGAGGCAGCAGUGGGGAAUAUUGGACAAUGGGCGCAAGCCUGAUCCAGCCAUACCGCGUGGGUGAAGAAGGCCUUCGGGUUGUAAAGCCCUUUUGUUGGGAAAGAAAAGCAGCAGGUUAAUACCCCGCUGUUCUGACGGUACCCAAAGAAUAAGCACCGGCUAACUUCGUG